rnacentral:rRNA from 1 species
AGUGAACGCUGGCGGUAGGCCUAACACAUGCAAGUCGAACGGCAGCACAGUAAGAGCUUGCUCUUACGGGUGGCGAGUGGCGGACGGGUGAGGAAUACAUCGGAAUCUACUUUUUCGUGGGGGAUAACGUAGGGAAACUUACGCUAAUACCGCAUACGACCUACGGGUGAAAGCAGGGGAUCUUCGGACCUUGCGCGAUUGAAUGAGCCGAUGUCGGAUUAGCUAGUUGGCGGGGUAAAGGCCCACCAAGGCGACGAUCCGUAGCUGGUCUGAGAGGAUGAUCAGCCACACUGGAACUGAGACACGGUCCAGACUCCUACGGGAGGCAGCAGUGGGGAAUACUGGACAAUGGGCGCAAGCCUGAUCCAGCCAUACCGCGUGGGUGAAGAAGGCCUUCGGGUUGUAAAGCCCUUUUGUUGGGAAAGAAAAGCAGCAGGUUAAUACCCCGCAGUUCUGACGGUACCCAAAGAAUAAGCACCGGCUAACUUCGUG